CGCUUUUAAUAGAUUCAGCCAGUAAUUUGCCUAAUUUUUGAGAAAUCUUCAGAUGAUGUUCUGAAUGUUAAUUAGUUUGAUGAAUCUAUUUUUGAAA
ensembl:ncRNA F45G2.11 ncRNA